UGUGGUCGGUGCGCGCUGACAAUCUUGGCUUGUGAAGGCGGGGCGCAGCAGAAGGCUGGCACCACGGAGCAUCUGCACAAGGGCAAUCCUGGGCAGUGGAAGACGGGCUU
rnacentral:SRP_RNA from 13 species